CCACCUCUGGGGUGGCGCUGGGGGCUGUUUACACAGGGACCCCUGGCCCGGCGCUGGGUGCAGCCACCUCUGGGGUGUGGCAGGGAGGCUGUUUAUCCAGGGACCCC